rnacentral:misc_RNA from 1 species
AAAAAUGAAGCCUCUUUUCUCUCUCUUCCUUACUCUUUCCCUAUUCCUCUCCUUAUUUUUCCAUGGCUCAAAAGGCCAAAAUUUAAUCCAAAACACUUGUAAAUCAUGUGCAAAUGAUGAUCCAAAUAUUAAGUAUGGCUUUUGCACUUCAUCUCUACAAGCAGCUCCUGCGAGUCAAUGUGCUACUCUCCGUGGCCUUGGUAUGAUUUCGAUUAGAUUAAUUCGAUAUAAUGUUACUGAUACGAGGUGUCACGUUAAG